GAGGAGCAACUGUGGAGACUCAGCAUUGAGGGAGUGGAGGAGAAUCAUGGCAGGAUUCACAGUCAGCAUUCCUGGAAUAAUUUUCUGUGUUGUAGCCAAUGGCUGAUCAUAAAAAUGAGUAAACAGUCCUGUGUUUCUAAAUGUUGAGUGCAGAAAAUGGAAAAUACUUGCCAAAAAAACUUGGUUUACAACUACCUGAGAUUACUCCUCAUGCACUGGGCAACGAGAUUGAUUUGGUUAUGGUAGGAAGUAAAGUGAGAACAAAAGGGAAGUAUAAGCUUUUGAUCUCUCUUGCACUCAGAAAAAUUUAAUCUUUCUCCAAGCAACAUGAAGAGUUUCUACAGCUUCUGUGAACCCUAGCACACCUGAUGGGAAUCUGUC